rnacentral:rRNA from 1 species
UACAGAGGGGGCAAGCGUUGUUCGGAAUUACUGGGCGUAAAGGGCGCGUAGGCGGCCUGUUAAGUCGAACGUGAAAUCCCUGGGCUCAACCCAGGAACUGCGUCCGAUACUGGCAGGCUUGAAUUCGGGAGAGGGAUGCGGAAUUCCAGGUGUAGCGGUGAAAUGCGUAGAUAUCUGGAGGAAUACCGGUGGCGAAGGCGGCAUCCUGGACCGAGAUUGACACUAAAGCGCGAAAGCCAGGGGAGCAAACGGG